GACGAACGCUGGCGGCGUGCUUAACACAUGCAAGUCGAGCGGUAAGGCCUUUCGGGGUACACGAGCGGCGAACGGGUGAGUAACACGUGGGUGAUCUGCCCUGCACUUCGGGAUAAGCCUGGGAAACUGGGUCUAAUACCGGAUAUGACCUCCUAUCGCAUGGUGGGGGGUGGAAAGAUUUAUCGGUGCAGGAUGGGCCCGCGGCCUAUCAGCUUGUUGGUGGGGUAAUGGCCUACCAAGGCGACGACGGGUAGCCGACCUGAGAGGGUGACCGGCCACACUGGGACUGAGACACGGCCCAGACUCCUACGGGAGGCAGCAGUGGGGAAUAUUGCACAAUGGGCGAAAGCCUGAUGCAGCGACGCCGCGUGAGGGAUGACGGCCUUCGGGUUGUAAACCUCUUUCAGCAGGGACGAAGCGCAAGUGACGGUACCUGCAGAAGAAGCACCGGCUAACUACGUG
rnacentral:rRNA from 1 species